rnacentral:lncRNA from 1 species
ACAGGAGCUAUGCUAGUGAUCCAGAUGAGGAAGCUAAAGUUCUGAGAAUCUGAAAAACGUCUCCAAGAUGAUAGAACUAUUAAGGGGUAGACUGCACUUUGGAACUCAAGCCUGUUCCUGAAGUCCUUUUUGGAGAGAAGACUAUGUCCAAACAACCAUAAUACAGAAGAGAUGCAUCUUGCUCUGUCACCCAGGAUGAAUAAUAAGACAAUCACAGGACUGGAGCCUACCCUAAAGAGCUAGAUGACCCAGUUCUUUACUGCUAGGCAGGUUUGUACCUUCAGAAUCCAAGAAGAAUGGCUGUCAUCUCACCCUGAAUAUGAUUUGUCUCAAAUGAUCAGACCUUCAGAAAUAUGUUAAAUCUAUGAAAUUCUUUUUCUUUUUCAUUUUUCUCAUUGUUAUUAAAAUGACUUUUGCCGAUUCA